AUUGAACGCUGGCGGCAGGCCUAACACAUGCAAGUCGAGCGGAUGAGGGGAGCUUGCUCCCUGAUUUAGCGGCGGACGGGUGAGUAAUGCCUAGGAAUCUGCCUGGUAGUGGGGGAUAACGUUCCGAAAGGAACGCUAAUACCGCAUACGUCCUACGGGAGAAAGCAGGGGACCUUCGGGCCUUGCGCUAUCAGAUGAGCCUAGGUCGGAUUAGCUAGUUGGUGAGGUAAUGGCUCACCAAGGCGACGAUCCGUAACUGGUCUGAGAGGAUGAUCAGUCACACUGGAACUGAGACACGGUCUAGACUCCUACGGGAGGCAGCAGUGGGGAAUAUUGGACAAUGGGCGAAAGCCUGAUCCAGCCAUGCCGCGUGUGUGAAGAAGGUCUUCGGAUUGUAAAGCACUUUAAGUUGGGAGGAAGGGCUGCUGGUUAAUACCCUGCAGUUUUGACGUUACCAACAGAAUAAGCACCGGCUAACUUCGUG
rnacentral:rRNA from 1 species